rnacentral:rRNA from 1 species
AGUUGCCAGCAUUCAGUUGGGCACUCUAAGGUGACUGCCGGCUAAAAGUCGGAGGAAGGUGGGAUGACGUCAAAUCAUCAUGCCCCUUAUGACCUGGGCUACACACGUGCUACAAUGGUUGGUACAACGAGUUGCGAGUCGGUGACGGCGAGCUAAUCUCUUAAAGCCAAUCUCAGUUCGGAUUGUAGGCUGCAACUCGCCUACAUGAAGUCGGAAUCGCUAGUAAUCGCGGAUCAGCACGCCGCGGUCGAAUACGUUCCCGGGCCUU